GGGGGGGGGGGGGCUAUACAUGCAAGUCGAGCGAAUGGAUUAAGAGCUUGCUCUUAUGAAGUUAGCGGCGGACGGGUGAGUAACACGUGGGUAACCUGCCCAUAAGACUGGGAUAACUCCGGGAAACCGGGGCUAAUACCGGAUAACAUUUUGAACCGCAUGGUUCGAAAUUGAAAGGCGGCUUCGGCUGUCACUUAUGGAUGGACCCGCGUCGCAUUAGCUAGUUGGUGAGGUAACGGCUCACCAAGGCAACGAUGCGUAGCCGACCUGAGAGGGUGAUCGGCCACACUGGGACUGAGACACGGCCCAGACUCCUACGGGAGGCAGCAGUAGGGAAUCUUCCGCAAUGGACGAAAGUCUGACGGAGCAACGCCGCGUGAGUGAUGAAGGCUUUCGGGUCGUAAAACUCUGUUGUUAGGGAAGAACAAGUGCUAGUUGAAUAAGCUGGCACCUUGACGGUACCUAACCAGAAAGCCACGGCUAACUACGUGCCAGCAGCCGCGGUAAUACGUAGGUGGCAAGCGUUAUCCGGAAUUAUUGGGCGUAAAGCGCGCGCAGGUGGUUUCUUAAGUCUGAUGUGAAAGCCCACGGCUCAACCGUGGAGGGUCAUUGGAAACUGGGAGACUUGAGUGCAGAAGAGGAAAGUGGAAUUCCAUGUGUAGCGGUGAAAUGCGUAGAGAUAUGGAGGAACACCAGUGGCGAAGGCGACUUUCUGGUCUGUAACUGACACUGAGGCGCGAAAGCGUGGGGAGCAAACAG
rnacentral:rRNA from 1 species